rnacentral:tRNA from 1 species
AGGCACGUGCCCGAAAGAUAAGGACCACACUGAUGCAGUGGAUAAUAAGAGUUCAAACCUCUUCGCAGCCU